rnacentral:rRNA from 1 species
UCCUCCCUCUGGCGGCGUGCCUAAUACAUGCAAGUCGAACGCACAGUUUAUACCGUAGCUUGCUACACCAUAAACUGUGAGUUGCGAACGGGUGAGUCACGCGUAGGUAACCUGCCUGGUAGCGGGGGGUAACUAUUGGAAACGCUAGCUAAUACCGCAUCAUAUUGAUUAUUGCAUGAUAAUUGAUUGAAAGAUGCUAUUGCAUCACUACCAGAUGGCCCUGCGUUGUAUUAGCUAGUAGGGGAGGUAACGGCUCACCUAGGCGACGAUACAUAGCCGACCGGCGAGGGUGAUCGGCCACACUGGGACUGAGACACGGCCCAGACUCCUACGGGAGGCAGCAGUAGGGAAUCUUCGGCAAUGGACGGAAGUCUGACCGAGCAACGCCGCGUGAGUGAAGAAGGGUUUCGGAUCGUAAAGCUCGGUUGUAAGAGAAGAACGGGUGUGAGAGUGGAAAGUUCACACUGUGACGGUAUCUUACCAGAAAGGAACGGCUAACUACGUG